rnacentral:tRNA from 1 species
GACCCUGUAGCGCAAUGAAUAGCGCGUUGGACUUCUAAUCCAAAGAUCAUGGGUUCGAAUCCCACCUGGGAUGGCCU